rnacentral:rRNA from 1 species
UACGUAGGUGGCAAGCGUUGUCCGGAUUUAUUGGGCGUAAAGCGCGCGCAGGUGGUUUCUUGAGUCUGAUGUGAAAGCCCCCGGCUCAACUGGGGAGGUUCAUUGGAAACUGGGAGACUUGAGUGCAGAAGAGGAUAGUGGAAUUCCAAGUGUAGCGGUGAAAUGCGUAGAGAUAUGGAGGAACACCAGUGGCGAAGGCGGCUGUCUGGUCUGUAACCGACACUGAGGCGCGAAAGCGUGGGGAGCAAACAGG